GUCCACGCCCUAAACUAUGAUCACUCGAUGUGUGCGAUACACUGUACGCGUCUGAGCGAAAGCAUUAAGUGAUCCACCUGGGGAGUACGACCGCAAGGUUGAAACUCAAAGGAAUUGACGGGGGCCCGCACAAGCGGAGGAGCAUGUGGUUUAAUUAGAUGAUACGCGAGGAACCUUACCAGGGCUUGAAAGUUAGUGAAGGAUGUGGAAACAUGUCCGUCAGCAAUGACACGAAACUAGGUGCUGCAUGGCUGUCGU
rnacentral:rRNA from 1 species